rnacentral:sRNA from 1 species
UGUCAAAACGAUUUUAAAAUGAUAACUCUAAAUAAUAGAUAAUUAAGAAUAUUGAAAAAGUAAAACUCAUGAACGCAUUUAUCCAAGCAGUUAGCCUAAUUAUUAUUAGCGUGGUGGUGAUUAUUAUCCCACCGUGCGGGGCUGCACUUGGACGACGAAGGCUAAAAUAACAGCCAGAUCUCACGAGAACCCCGCACCGAAAGGCGCGGGGUUUUUUUUGACAUAAAUGUUGAUGA